UUUCCCUGUCUCUUAAGUACACAGUCUGUGACGGAUCGAGAGAGCAGUUCGCCAUUUCUUUGGUCUUUCUGUUUGAAUGCACACAUGUGACAAGGAUAUAAGGGCAUUUAUGACAUGUUGUCUUGCAUUAAUUAAGAAUAUAACAGGAUCAAGAUAUUUUUCAUUAAUCUACUUGGUUGAUAAUAUUUCUGUAUUUUUUAUUUCUUUUAUAAAUGUAAAGAUUUAUUCUGUGAUCAUUGCUAAAACUCUGCUUUGUAGAAAGCUGUCACAUAAAUACAUAAUUGGGAUAUUAUUUUUCAGGGUAUCACUUUCUUAAAAAUCCCAUAUGACUUUAGCUGCCUCCCCAUCAGGAGCAAACCCUUCUGUUGAAAGCUGACUGAUCGACCUUGACCAUUUCCUGGACACAUCAGAUCAAAAUGUCAAGUUGGAUGAGGUUCUGUGAAAAGCUUUGGAACUAACAAGCUGCAGUUGUCAGCUUUUUCACUUCUAUGAUUUCUUAAGCUGAUGUCAAUGCUAAAUUAUCUUAAUGAUCUGAGGGCAAUAUGGUAGAGAUGGAAUGCCAUGUAUAAAACUGCCUUGAAAUUUUUUCUUUGUUGCAGUGUAUUUGAAAACUUUGCACUUUAGGGAUUGUAUAAUCAUCUUGAUUUUAGCUCCCUGAUAUUUGAACUAUUUCCAAUCAAGGACACCAGGGAAGCAUAUCUAUAUUUCUGGUGGAUUUCUCUUUAUGUUUCUGUGAGAAGGAAGGGGACUAGAAAAAAGAGGAAAGAUCUCCACUCCGUGUGCUUUUACUUAGGGCUGCCUUGUGCAUGUCUAAUUGUAACUUAGGAGUCUCUAAAGGAGUGAAACAUUUAGAGACUUCACAGUGAGGGAGUGUUUGUCUUCACAUGGAAAAUAGCCCAAUGUCCAUAGACUGCUCCAGUAAGCACCCCAGCAAAAACCUGUCAUAACAGAACAUCUUACAAGGAAGCAUUCUCUUCUACAGUUUAAAUUACCACAAGUGAUAUGACUUAUUAAAAAAAAAUUUCUAACUUUCAUGACCAUUAUUAGAAAAUGUUUACCAGAAUCAGGAAGAAGGAAAGCUUUUUAUGGUCAUGAAAGAAUUAAAUUCAUCCCAGUUCAAGCACUGUAUAUAAUGAAUAUGCUUGAUAUUAAUAACUAAAGCAGUUAGUCUUUAAAAAGGUCAAAGUGACAGGAGAUUGAAGAAUUUAGGGAGAUAUGCAUAGAAUUUUGUAGCAUCAUUCUCAAAGAUAACCUCAAAUGUUGGCAUUUUUAUAAACCAACUUAAACUUCUAUUGAGAUAGGAUAUUUUUUGUUUGCUGGUCAAAAUUGUCAUUAAUCAAAUUCUUUUUUCAAAUUAGAUGAUCUACUUUUAAUGCCUGACUUAUUGUGAGCUUUUUAAUCCAAUAUACAGUUCAAAUGUUACUGCAACAAAGGAAUAUAUGUAUUUAGAUCAAAGUCAAGACUUUCUAUGUGAUUGUUCUGCAUGACAAUAUGAAUAUAAUUUAAGUCUACCAAUAGUUUGAACAUAAACAAGAGCUAAUUAACUGGCAGUGUUGUCAGCUGAGAAUAAGUGGAUGUUGGCUGACACACAAGCUAUGAUCAGCCAGCAGAGAAAGACUUCUAAAUUCUCCUUGCUGAGCUGAAAUAUUCUAUUACAUAUGGCUGACAAAUCUGUUCUAUUUCUUGUCUACAUGCCACAUUUAAGUUUGUAAGGACCAACAUAGGAUAUAGUUGAAAUUUUGAUACUUUAACAAUGAACACACUAUCCUUGUCUGAUUUUUCUCAAUUGAGAUCAAUUUAUUCUCAUUAAGAUUUUAUGAGGCUCUGGGCCAGGGAUGUAACUCAGUGGCAGAGCAUAUGCCUAGCAUGUAAAGUCCUGGGUUUAGUCCUCAGAACUGGGGGAAAACAAACAAACAAAAACAAAUUCAAAACUACAAUAACAACAAAAAAUCAUAUCUUACUGGGCUCUAAAAUGAAAACUGUUUGUUUUAAAAGUUUUAUUUUGAGUAACUGUAAAGUCAGUUUUCUAUUUCACCAGGUUCCAGUAUCCAUUGAUUUGACCGAUCUCUAAUAAAAAUUAAUUGGAGAAAGAAAACUGUGUCUAUACUGAAUAUGUACAGAUUCU
rnacentral:lncRNA from 1 species